UACGUAGGGUGCAAGCGUUAAUCGGAAUUACUGGGCGUAAAGCGUGCGCAGGCGGUUAUAUAAGACAGAUGUGAAAUCCCCGGGCUCAACCUGGGAACUGCAUUUGUGACUGUAUAGCUAGAGUACGGUAGAGGGGGAUGGAAUUCCGCGUGUAGCAGUGAAAUGCGUAGAUAUACGGAGGAACACCGAUGGCGAAGGCAAUCCCCUGGACCUGUACUGACGCUCAUGCACGAAAGCGUGGGGAGCAAACAGG
rnacentral:rRNA from 1 species